AUUGAACGCUGGCGGAAUGCUUUACACAUGCAAGUCGAACGGCGGCACGGACUUCGGUCUGGUGGCGAGUGGCGAACGGGUGAGUAAUGUAUCGGAACGUGCCCAGUCGUGGGGGAUAACGUAGUGAAAAUUACGCUAAUACCGCAUACGAUCUAUGGAUGAAAGCGGGGGAGCGCAAGACCUCGCGCGAUUGGAGCGGCCGAUAUCAGAUUAGGUAGUUGGUGGGGUAAAGGCCCACCAAGCCAACGAUCUGUAGCUGGUCUGAGAGGACGACCAGGCACACUGGAACUGAGACACGGUCCAGACUCCUACGGGAGGCAGCAGUGGGGAAUUUUGGAGAAUGGGCGAAAGCCUGAUCCAGCCAUUCCGCGUGCAGGAUGAAGGCCCUCGGGUUGUAAACUGCUUUUGUACAGAACGAAAAGGUUUCUACUAAUACUAGGAGCUCAUGACGGUACUGUAAGAAUAAGCACCGGCUAACUACGUGCCAGCCGCCGCAGUAA
rnacentral:rRNA from 1 species